AUGUCUGUAGCACCGUUUAGCUGUUGGCUGUUAGAUUUACACUUAGAAGCUGAGUUUGAUGUGUGUGCUAAAUUACUUGUGUUUUUGUUUCUGGUUGAGCAGCAGCUGAGCAACAGAUGAACACGUCUCUGCCUCCUUCACCAUCUCUCUCAGGGUCUGAAAGAGAUUGUUCUCAGGAUACUUUCUGUCCUCUGCGUCCUCCAGCAGCACUCUCAGCUCAAUCAUAUCUGAGACAUAAUACAGAAAAUAAGGGCCUCACUGACUCUCUUGGACCAUGUUUCAUAGGACUGGGCACGAGACUUUACGCCAAACAGCAUGGCUGGAAAUUCCUCCAGAUCAUACCGGAAAUCCACUGCCCACGUCUUUUGAGCUGAUAUCUGCUCCAUACUCGACUAUUACGUCCUCCUCUAUGCUGCUCACAAGCCUCCAGAACUCUUUCUCAACCAACUCUGUGGGGACCAUCUGAGAACAGUAAUCAACAGUUUGUAGUGGGAAAGCAUGGCUCUUACGUGAACAGGCAUGUUAAAGUAGUCUGAUUUGAAGUUGUCGGCCAUCUCCCCAAAACUCUGGAGAGUGUAUUCCCGCACGCCCUGCUCGAACCCAAACGCCUCUCGAGGCUUACUGCAUUCCUAGAGGAAAAAGAAAAUGAUGAUCAAUGGUGUAACUUUGCUGCCUUCAAGUCAUCAGUAAACCUUCUUA